CCUACGGGGGCAGCAGUGGGGAAUAUUGGACAAUGGGCGAAAGCCUGAUCCAGCCAUGCCGCGUGUGUGAAGAAGGCCUUCGGGUUGUAAAGCACUUUCAGUGGGGAAGAAAGCCUUGGGGCUAAUACCCUCGAGGAAGGACAUCACCCACAGAAGAAGCACCGGCUAACUCCGUGCCAGCAGCCGCGGUAAUACGGAGGGUGCGAGCGUUAAUCGGAAUUACUGGGCGUAAAGCGCGCGUAGGCGGUCUGAUAAGCCGGUUGUGAAAGCCCCGGGCUCAACCUGGGAACGGCAUCCGGAACUGUCAGGCUAGAGUGCAGGAGAGGAAGGUAGAAUUCCCGGUGUAGCGGUGAAAUGCGUAGAGAUCGGGAGGAAUACCAGUGGCGAAGGCGGCCUUCUGGACUGACACUGACGCUGAGGUGCGAAAGCGUGGGUAGCAAACAGGAUUAAUACCCGUGUAGUC
rnacentral:rRNA from 1 species